rnacentral:lncRNA from 10 species
CAUGACUUACCGGCGGUGGCUCCGCGGCGUGCGCCCUGCCAGGAGGGGCCUGUGCUCGAGGAGCAGGCCUGGCGAGUAGCCCAGCCACUCCACGUUGAGCCGGGACUUGCCGCGCAACAUGGUCCUCCUGGGCGGGCGGCGGCUACGCCGCCCCCUGAACUCGCGUGAACACUGGUCCUCGUCUGCGUCUCGGUCGCUGAGCUGGGGGCCGCAAGGAGACCCGAGCAUAUGAGCCGCGAAGAGGGACUACCAGCCAGAGGGCUGUGGUGCUAGGCAACUGAGCGUAUUCCGCCGACGACAACACAAAAAAGCAGUGCGCAUUAUUUCGCCACUACUUGAGCAAAUAAAUGCCUCAUUAAUUACUGCCCGCAGUGGUAGGAAGUCAAGCCCUUGGCAGCUGGGAGGAGUUAAAACACUCACCCGAGUCCGUAAAACUAGAGAAUGUCAGAGUUCAAAGAGCUCUUGCUGAGAAUGACUGUUCCAGACUCGAUGCCAGUGACCCCCAACUUCCACUUAAAAGUUAAAAACAUAUUUUGCAGCUGCUCAGAAAGCCGCCAAUGAGACAACAGGGACUCAAAUAGUAAGAACAGAUGGGCCUCCCGGGCCUGCGCAACCCGAGAGAGGUAAAAACGAAAGGGUGGGUAAGUCUGGAGUCAGGCUUGACAAAAUUAAGUUGCCACUGGCUGCUAAUAAGAGGACAGCCCUUAACAUGGUCAGCGCCUGGAAAGGGCCGCUGACCACACAGCUAUUUUCUGCACCACAUGGAUACAAAGACCACAUCUGAAAUCAUGACUAAACCAGCAGCUUAGAGUGGUGGAAAGGGCAAUGGACUGGGCAGCAGGAAGUCCAGGUUUUAGUUCAAACUGAAUAAUCCCCCUCUAGGGCUGACUGUGCUGGCUCACGCCUGUAAUCUCAACACUUUGGGAAGCUGAGGCAGGAGGAUUGCGUGAGGCCAGUAGUUCCAGAGCAGCUUGGGCAGCAUAGCAAGACUCCGUCUCUAAAAAACAAACUGUAAAAUAUUUAAUAAAAAUAAUAGUAAUCUCUAUCUGGGCCUCAUCUAGACCUUUAGGUGAGUAAGAACCACCUAAUGUAAGAACUUGGGGUACAAAGAGAAUCUAGCUCUGGGGUAGGCAAACUGAGCCAGCCGACCUAAUACAUGGAGCCUACCACCUGUUUUUCUACAGCCCUGAGGUAGAAAUAGUGAAACUAAGGGAAAUUUCAGUCUGGUGAGGACCUCACAAUGCCCCUUGCCUCCUGACUCUUGAAUGCCCUAAAAUUUACAUCAGGCUACCUCUUCCAGCUCUAUCUGCCAGAUAGCUAAGCUGGGAUCUCUGAGCUGGUGAAGGGACUUGCCCAUGGAGUCAAGGAAUGCUCAGGGUUCAUGCCUCAGGACUGUUCUCACCAACUUGACUCACCUUUGGGGCUCUAGUGGAGCCCGUGGGCCUUCCGGCAAACAGAAGUAGGCAAUGGGGGUCAGGAAAUGGCCCCCACUGCCUGUCCAGCGUGGUGCCAGCUCAGCCUAGGAUCCCAUGUCCCCUGGCACACCAGUGGUUUGAUAUAACCAGAGGAUCUCCUGCCCAUGAGGGGCGGCAGCGCUCCAGUUACCAACCCCCAAGUGAAAGAUCCUGGAUCAAGUCUUUCCUGAUUGGCCUGCACCCAGAGGCUACGCUACCAGAAGAGGAACUGGACAAGGGCACACCCCAAGAUAUACACGCGUUUUUUCCUUGAAAGGCCCAGGCUUUGAGGAGGCGAUCGCAACCAGUGGGCUGAAUAAAAGAGCAAGUGUCGGCACGGAGAGAGCUAGGCCCGGGCUCACCAAGACAUAGAGCCCGAGGGUUCUGAAAACACUGUUCACGGUGGAGCACGAGGCUCGAGCGCCAGAGACCUCGGAGUUGGGUUUCCACGUGGUUAUUCCCAGCGCCAAGUGGGCGGGGCAGGGGAGGGCGGGGCAAGGCCUCCUCCCAGCUUGGGCCACUCUGAUUGGUCCGCAGCAGCAUGUCUUUCCUGGCGAGUCUGGGCAGGCCAAGCAGCCCCGCCCACCCGCAGCCCAACGCAAAGGGGCGGGACCUAGAGCUGGCUGCAGACUGAGCGCCUUGCACCCAGCAGGUGUCGGGGUGAAAUCAGAGUGUCUAGCCCCUCAUCCCGUGGAGGCUGGCACCCUCGGCCUGAGCUGCACUCAUUGAGUAAACAAAUACAUAAUUGGUGAAUGCGUGAGUGGGUGAGAGAAAUCGAAGGGAAAACCCAAAAUUCUUCCAGGAUUUCAAUGAGAAAUAGCUAUAGAUUUUGUUUUGGUUGUUUUCGCUGUUCUCGGUUCUUACUUUUUCCAUAAUUGGGUGGAAAAAGUUAGAAACACUCGAGAGAGGAAGAAACUGCAAGAGGCAAAUGAAACCCAGGAGAAGCAAGGCAAGGAGGAGCUGGUGAUUCGAGAAUGUGUAAUAAAAAGACGUAAAAGAUGAAUAAAGUGCUCCAGGCCCGGGCAUGCCUGGCCCUUGGCUUCUUGGCUGAGUGGUCCCAGGCUGCACCUCUAGCUCCUGUCCUGGGAAGAAGAAAUCGCCUUACAAGAGGGGCGGAGUGAAGGGAGUGUAUGUGCUAGCGUGUGGGGCUGUGUGUAUGAGUGUGUGUGCAUUUGAGUAUGUGAGUGUGCUUCACUGUGUGUGUGAGGGUAUGUGUGACUGUGUGUGUGUACGCGCGCACGCAUGUGAGUUUGUCUACAUCAUUGGGGGAAAUAUAAUUAAAAACAAAAUCUUCUCCCAGCCCAGAUAACCUCUCCAUAAAGGUAGAAGAGAAAGAAAACAAUUUUCUUGAAUAAACAUUAAAUCAGAAUGUGAUAUGAAUCACAGGCAGCCAGCUAAAAGUAUUGCAAGGACAGAAAGAAACCUCACACUAGGCAUACCUCAGAGGUAUUGCAGUUUGGUUGCAGACCAGCACAAUAAAGCGAAUAUUGCAAUAAA